AUUGAACGCUGGCGGCAUGCUUUACACAUGCAAGUCGAACGGUAGCACAGAGAGCUUGCUCUCGGGUGACGAGUGGCGGACGGGUGAGUAAUGUCUGGGAAACUGCCCGAUGGAGGGGGAUAACUACUGGAAACGGUAGCUAAUACCGCAUAACGUUGCAAGACCAAAGUGGGGGACCUUCGGGCCUCACACCAUCGGAUGUGCCCAGAUGGGAUUAGCUAGUAGGUGGGGUAAUGGCUCACCUAGGCGACGAUCCCUAGCUGGUCUGAGAGGAUGACCAGCCACACUGGAACUGAGACUCGGUCCAGACUCCUACGGGGGGCAGCAGUGGGGAAUAUUGCACAAUGGGCGCAAGCCUGAUGCAGCCAUGCCGCGUGUAUGAAGAAGGCCUUCGGGUUGUAAAGUACUUUCAGCGGGGAGGAAGGCGGUGGAGUUAAUAACUUCACCGAUUGACGUUACCCGCAGAAGAAGCACCGGCUAACUCCGUGCCAGCCGCCGCCGUAA
rnacentral:rRNA from 1 species